rnacentral:rRNA from 1 species
UACGGAAGGUGCAAGCGCUAAUCGGAAUUACUGGGCGUAAAGCGCACGUAGGCGGCCUUGUAAGUCGGGGGUGAAAUCCCGCAGCUCAACUGCGGAACUGCCCCCGAUACUGCUUGGCUUGAGUGCAGGAGGGGUGACCGGAACUCCAGGUGUAGCGGUGAAAUGCGUAGAUAUCUGGAGGAACACCAGAGGCGAAGGCGGGUCACUGGACUGCUACUGACGCUCAGGUGCGAAAGCUAGGGGAGCGAACAGG